AAGUGAGCCAGCUUUGAGAGCCAUCCUAACUGGAUCCCCUCUUGGUUAUGUCAGCCUGUUUUUUAGGGGAAAAAAAGGGGGAUUUCAAGGUGAGACGCAGGUCUGUGGGACACUGAGGAUCGACUGUAACUUAAAACGCAAGCGUGGCAGCCAUAGUCCCUACUUUGGACCGGGACUUCAUGCCUCCAGAUCACCUGCAUCCACAGUUUAUCUGCUGAAACUGCUUUUGGAUAAACAAAAACAAGAACAGAACAAACACCCUUCCCCAAUCUUUUCCAUUUCAGCUGCCAGCUGGAGUCCAAGUUGUGGAAACCACACUUCAGUCUUGGUCCUACGCCAUUGAGUCCCCAACUAUGACCCCAGCCAAGGGUGCAGGGACAAGCUCCCUUACCCAGGAGUGCUGUAGGACCUUCCUGAGAUACUCAUAGUCUUGGAAGAACUGUCACCAAAUCACAGUAACACUCCUUUAUGUCCUUUCAGUCCCGUUACCAUAUUGACUUGCUUUUGUCUGCCAAAAGAACUUAAGUGUUCUUCAAAGGGAAAGCAGGUAUUCCAAGAAUCCCUGGUUUCUGUCUGGCUUCUGCCUAUUGUCUGAAGAAAGCAAAGUUUGCCAGUCUUGGUUUUCCAGUUGAAUUCUCUUGAUAAAGCUCUUGAUCUGCUCCAGAAACUUGCCAGGUGCAGCCUCCCGCUGUCUCCCCGGGCUCAGCACACAAUGCCAACCCCACUGCUGCCCACACUGGGACAGAAGCAAGUUUACAAACACCAACCUGGGGCGUUUCCCUGGCUCAAUAGUCUUAUAAAGUUAAAGUUUUUCUAUAUAAGGGCUUGCAAUUUUCUUAAAGAUUACAUUAUAUAAAAGACAGAAAAUAGAAAAAAAAGAGAACAAAGUUAUUGUAGUCUAGCAUGGUCAAUGUAUAUAAAAGUGUAACUUGAUUUAAUAUAAUUAUUUUAUGUAUGUUAUACAUUUUUUGGCUUGUUAUUCUGGCUGUUAAUCUGUAUUUAUGAUAAUUAACUUGAUAAAGACUUAUAAAAUAAAUCUGAUGCUGGGAUUUUUUUAAAAGAGGGAGGUGGAGGGAAUGGGAGGAAAAGAAUUGAGAUGUGCUAUGUACAAGUAUCAAUUUCCCACAAUGAAUGUAAUCAGGAUGUA
ensembl:lncRNA